rnacentral:rRNA from 1 species
GUUAAGCGACUAAGCGUACACGGUGGAUGCCCUGGCAGUCAGAGGCGAUGAAGGGCGUGCUAAUCUGCGAUAAGCGCCGGUAAGGUGAUAUGAACCGUUAUAACCGGCGAUACCCGAAUGGGGAAACCCAGUGUGAUUCGUCACACUAUCAUUAACUGAAUCCAUAGGUUAAUGAGGCGAACCGGGGGAACUGAAACAUCUAAGUACCCCGAGGAAAAGAAAUCAACCGAGAUUCCCCCAGUAGCGGCGAGCGAACGGGGAGGAGCCCAGAGCCUGAAUCAGCAUGUGUGUUAGUGGAAGCGUCUGGAAAGGCGCGCGAUACAGGGUGACAGCCCCGUACACAAAAGCGCAUGUGCUGUGAGCUCGAUGAGUAGGGCGGGACACGUGGUAUCCUGUCUGAAUAUGGGGGGACCAUCCUCCAAGGCUAAAUACUCCUGACUGACCGAUAGUGAACCAGUACCGUGAGGGAAAGGCGAAAAGAACCCCGGCGAGGGGAGUGAAAAAGAACCUGAAACCGUGUACGUACAAGCAGUGGGAGCACCCUUCGGGGUGUGACUGCGUACCUUUUGUAUAAUGGGUCAGCGACUUAUAUUCUGUAGCAAGGUUAACCGUAUAGGGGAGCCGGAGGGAAACCGAGUCUUAACCGGGCGUUAAGUUGCAGGGUAUAGACCCGAAACCCGGUGAUCUAGCCAUGGGCAGGUUGAAGGUUGGGUAACACUAACUGGAGGACCGAACCGACUAAUGUUGAAAAAUUAGCGGAUGACCUGUGGCUGGGGGUGAAAGGCCAAUCAAACCGGGAGAUAGCUGGUUCUCCCCGAAAGCUAUUUAGGUAGCGCCUCGUGAAUUCAUCUCCGGGGGUAGAGCACUGUUUCGGCUAGGGGGCCAUCCCGGCUUACCAACCCGAUGCAAACUGCGAAUACCGGAGAAUGUUAUCACGGGAGACACACGGCGGGUGCUAACGUCCGUCGUGAAGAGGGAAACAACCCAGACCGCCAGCUAAGGUCCCAAAGUCAUGGUUAAGUGGGAAACGAUGUGGGAAGGCCCAGACAGCCAGGAUGUUGGCUUAGAAGCAGCCAUCAUUUAAAGAAAGCGUAAUAGCUCACUGGUCGAGUCGGCCUGCGCGGAAGAUGUAACGGGGCUAAACCAUGCACCGAAGCUGCGGCAGCGAACGUAUCACCCAAGACAACUUUACGGAGUUGACGAUUGACGGAGCGAAGCGACGUCAAAGCGUUCAUUAAAGUCGAGUUGGCUUAGGGAUACGUUCGUUGGGUAGGGGAGCGUUCUGUAAGCCUGUGAAGGUGUGUCGUGAGGCAUGCUGGAGGUAUCAGAAGUGCGAAUGCUGACAUAAGUAACGAUAAAGCGGGUGAAAAGCCCGCUCGCCGGAAGACCAAGGGUUCCUGUCCAACGUUAAUCGGGGCAGGGUGAGUCGACCCCUAAGGCGAGGCCGAAAGGCGUAGUCGAUGGGAAACGGGUUAAUAUUCCCGUACUUGGUGUUACUGCGAAGGGGGGACGGAGAAGGCUAUGUUGGCCGGGCGACGGUUGUCCCGGUUUAAGCGUGUAGGUGUGUGUUCCAGGUAAAUCCGGUU